rnacentral:lncRNA from 1 species
UCUGGGUUAGUUAUGGGGCGCUAUGGGUCACUUAUGGGUCAGUUGUGGGUCACUUAUGGGUCACUUAUGGGUCAGUUCUGGGUUAGUUAUGGGGCGCUAUGGGUCACUUAUGAGUCACUUAUGGGUCACUUAUGGGUCACUUGUGGGUCACUUAUGGGUCACUUGUGGGUCAGUUCUGGGUCAGUUCUGGGUCACUUAUGGGGCGCUAUGGGUCAGUUGUGGGUCACUUGUGGGUCACUGUGAGUCACUUAUGGGUCACUUAUGGGUUAGUUAUGGGUCACUUGUGGGUCACUUGUGGGUCGCUAUGGGUCACUUGUGGGUCACUUGUGGGUCGCUAUGGGGCAGGCGCGGCGGCGGGCUCGCUGUUCUCGGGGGGCCGCUACGCCCUGGACCCGGAGCUGCGCGGGGCCGAAUUCGAGCGCCUGACCCAAAACCUGGAGGUCGGCUUCUGGAAGAGCUUCUGGAACCUCACCGAGAACCAGCUGCUGGCGGUGAGGCCCCAAAAACCCCCCAAAUGACCCCAAAACCGACCCCAAAAACCAGAACCCCAAAACUGACCCCAAAACCCAAAACUGACCCCAAAACUGACCCCAAAACCCAAAACCGACCCCAAAAACCCCAAAACCACCCCAAAAACCCCCAAACUGAGCCCAAAACUGACCCUAAAACACCAAAACCGACCCCAAAACUGACCCCAAAACUGACCCCCAAACCCAAAACUGACCCCAAAACCGACCCCAAAAACCAGAACCCCAAAACCGACCCCAAAAACCCCAAAACUGACCCCCAAAACCCCCAAACUCAGCCCAAAACUGACCCUAAAACCCCAAAACUGAGCCCAAAACCACCCCAAAAACCCAUGACAGACUCCAAAAACCCCCAAAAUGAGCCCCAAAACCCCAAAACUGACCCCAAAACUGACCCCAAAACCCAAAAACACCCCCAAAAAAACCCAAACUGAGUCCAAAAUCCCAAAACUGACACCAAAACCACCCCAAAAACCCCCAAACUGAGCCCAAAACUGACCCUAAAACACCAAAACCGACCCCAAAACUGACCCCAAAACUGACCCCAAAACCCAAAACUGACCCCAAAACCCAAAAACCCCCAAACCAACCCCAAAACCCAAAAACACCCCAAAAAAAACCCAAACUGACCCCCAAACCACCCUAAAAACCCCAAAACUGACCCCAAAACUGACCCUAAAACUGACCCCCAAACCCAAAACUGACCCCAAAACCGACCCCAAAAACCAGAACCCCAAAACCGACCCCAAAAACCCCAAAACUGACCCCCAAAAC